rnacentral:tRNA from 1 species
GGGGAUUUAGCUCAGUGGUUCCAGUGUCUGCCUUGCAAGCAGAAGAACCUGAGUUCGAUCCCCAGUGCCA